GAUGAACGCUGGCGGCGUGCCUAAUACAUGCAAGUCGAGCGAACAGAUAAGGAGCUUGCUCCUUUGACGUUAGCGGCGGACGGGUGAGUAACACGUGGGUAACCUACCUAUAAGACUGGGAUAACUUCGGGAAACCGGAGCUAAUACCGGAUAAUAUUUCGAACCGCAUGGUUCGAUAGUGAAAGAUGGUUUUGCUAUCACUUAUAGAUGGACCCGCGCCGUAUUAGCUAGUUGGUAAGGUAACGGCUUACCAAGGCGACGAUACGUAGCCGACCUGAGAGGGUGAUCGGCCACACUGGAAGUGAGACACGGUCCAGACUCCUACGGGAGGCAGCAGUAGGGAAUCUUCCGCAAGGGGCGAAAGCCUGACGGAGCAACGCCGCGUGAGUGAUGAAGGUCUUCGGAUCGUAAAACUCUGUUAUUAGGGAAGAACAUACGUGUAAGUAACUGUGCACGUCUUGACGGUACCUAAUCAGAAAGCCACGGCUAACUACGUG
rnacentral:rRNA from 1 species